rnacentral:rRNA from 2 species
UACGUAGGGGGCAAGCGUUGUCCGGAAUUAUUGGGCGUAAAGCGCGCGCAGGCGGUUUCUUAAGUCUGGUGUGAAAGCCCGCAGCUCAACUGCGGAGGGCCACUGGAAACUGGGAAGCUUGAGUGUAGGAGAGGAGAGCGGAAUUCCACGUGUAGCGGUGAAAUGCGUAGAUAUGUGGAGGAACACCCGUGGCGAAAGCGGCUCUCUGGCCUAUAACUGACGCUGAGGCGCGAAAGCGUGGGGAGCAAAC